GUGCGUCCUAUGGGGCGAAUGCAGGCUUCAGGAAGCUAUCCGCAAGCCUUGGGAGCCCGCAGGAGUUCCCGCGGGGCUCCCAAGGCUUGCGCAAAGCAGCCUGCAGCCCGAAACCCGGGAAGCGC